rnacentral:rRNA from 1 species
UACAGAGGGUGCGAGCGUUAAUCGGAAUUAUUGGGCGUAAAGAGCGUGUAGGCGGCCAGGUAGGUCUGCUGUGAAAACUCGAGGCUCAACCUCGAGACGUCGGCGGAAACCAUCUGGCUAGAGUCCGGAAGAGGAGAGUGGAAUUCCUGGUGUAGCGGUGAAAUGCGCAGAUAUCAGGAGGAACACCGGUGGCGAAGGCGGGUCUCUGGGCAACAACUGACGCUGAGGAGCGAAAGCGUGGGGAGCGAACAGG